UCCGGUGACGAUAGCUAAGGGGUUCCACCUGUUCCCAUGCCGAACACAGCAGUUAAGCCCUUAAACGCCGAAAGUACUCGACUGGAAACGGUCCGGGAGGAUAGGAAGUUGCCGGUU
rfam:Acidaminococcus intestini RyC-MR95, complete genome.